GUGGGGAAUAUUGGACAAUGGGCGAAAGCCUGAUCCAGCCAUGCCGCGUGUGUGAAGAAGGUCUUCGGAUUGUAAAGCACUUUAAGUUGGGAGGAAGGGCAGUAAGUUAAUACCUUGCUGUUUUGACGUUACCGACAGAAUAAGCUCCGGCUAACUCCGUGCCAGCAGCCGCGGUAAUACGGAGGGAGCUAGCGUUGUUCGGAAUUACUGGGCGUAAAGCGCGCGUAGGUGGUUUUGUAAGUUGGAGGUGAAAUCCCCGGGCUCAACCUGGGAACUGCCUCCAAAACUGCAUGACUAGAGUACGGUAGAGGGUAGUGGAAUUUCCUGUGUAGCGGUGAAAUGCGUAGAUAUAGGAAGGAACACCAGUGGCGAAGGCGACUACCUGGACUGAUACUGACACUGAGGUGCGAAAGCGUGGGGAGCAAACAGGAUUAGAUACCCCAGUAGUCC
rnacentral:rRNA from 1 species